AAGGGGCAGUAAUGUGUGGAUAACCUACCCUGGGGUUGGGCAUAGCCUCUCUAACGAGAGGGUAACACCCAGCGAUCCGGCGUGGCGGCAUCGCCGAGCCGGGAAAGUUUACGCCUCGGGAGGGGUCCACAUCGUAUUACCUAGUUGGUGAGGUAACGGCUCACCAAGGGGAAGAUGCGUAGCGGGUGUGAGAGCACGACCCGCGCCACUGGCACUGUGACACUGGCCAGACACCUACGGGUGGCUGCAGUCGAGGAUCUUCGUCAAUGGGGGAAACCCUGAACGAGCGACGCCGCGUGUGCGAUGAAGGCCUUCGGGUUGUAAAGCACGAAAGUGGGGAUAAAAGCCGAAAGGUCUGAUUGAUCCACAGUAAGCUCGGGCUAAGUUCGUGCCAGCAGCCGCGGUAAGACGAACCGAGCGAACGUUGUUCGGAAUCACUGGGCUUAAAGGGCGCGUAGGCGGGCGAUCAAGUCGGUGGUGAAAUCCUGCAGCUUAACUGCAGAACUGCCUCCGAUACUGGUUGUCUCGAGGAAGGUAGGGGCGUGCGGAACAGUUGGUGGAGCGGUGAAAUGCGUUGA
rnacentral:rRNA from 1 species